rnacentral:tRNA from 1 species
GGGCGUGUGGCUGAACGGAUCAGGCACUUGACUACGAAUCAAGUUCAUGUGGGUUCGAUUCCCACCGCGCCUUCCA